UCUCUCUCUCUCUCUCUCUCUCUCUCUCUCUCUCUCACCUACCCUCUCUCUCUCUCGAUCUCUCCGCCCGCCACCGUUCGCUGCCAUUGCCACUGCUCACUGUUGCCACCACUCGCCGACAACAUCGUGAGCCGCCAUGAGCUGUCGGCGGUUUACUACUUUCGCCACCACCAUUGUUUCUCGUUCCAUUUUUGGACUAAGCUGUCACCGAUGGAUUUCAGACGAUGUCCAAUAGAAUUCAGAUGCCUUCCACAAAUGGAAUUCGGGACGAAACCCGAUGGAUUUUGGAUACUGUCACCAAUGGAUGGGCAGGACCAUAUUCGGUGGAUUCCUAAAAAAUCGAUACAAUUGAGUUAUGUGAUGUAAUAAUUGAAAGUUCAUGUGAUUUAUUAUGGUUUAAGAAAUAUCAUUUGGUUGUUGAUCAUGUUGCAUUUUUAGGCACUUGAGAGUCACGUGCAUAAUUUAGAUGCUAUUAUUAUUAUUAUUAUUAUUAUUAUUUAGAGAUGCUAUUAUUUGGCACGUGCAUAUUUGCAUGUUAUUUUUUGGGUCUUGAGAGUCAUGUAUAUAUUUUAUAUGUUAUUAUUUGGGCCUUGAGAGUCACGUGCAUAUUUUAUGUGCUAUUAUUUUGGCCUUGAUUCACGUGCAUAUUUUACAUGCCAUUAUUUGAUUUUGAUCAUACUUGUUUUAUAAGUAGUUGAUGAUUCUCGCAUGUCUUAACCAAGGUAAAGAAAAUGUUUUGCUAUUGAUUUACCAUCGACGUUUUUAGCAUCAUGAAUCGCAUAUUUCCGAUACGAGGCAUCCAUCUAUAUGAGGAUUAGAUGAUUUAUUUAUUGAGUUUUCAACUCGUUUGUUAUUGUUUCCCUCUUUUUCAGGCUCGUAAGUAUGGCUACCUUACCCAUUCGCUUUCGUGUGCCCAUGGAAAUAAAAGUGGACUUGUUGGACAUAGUAGAUGGUAGUAACGAUGCCGUGAAUAGGAGACGUAUCACCAUGGUGUGGGUGGACGAGGGUGUAGAACAUUUGGUUCCUCAUCGGUUCGAGACUUAGUAUAUCUAGUUCGAUAGGGACUAUUUUGGAUUGAUGACUGACUCCAAUCCCGAGUCAUAAGGACGUCGGCCUAACUAUAAGGAUACCAUCUUUUGACGCCAUCCUCGUAGAGGAGUUAGGAUUAACCCUAUUCCUUUUGAUGUAAUCGAAAACGGCCCCAACUAAACGGGCUUAUAAAUAUAACUUUUAUUCUAGUGAUACAUAAUAUAAGAAGUAUGUUUAUAUA